GUGUCAGCAGCCGCGGUAAUACGUAGGGUGCGAGCGUUAAUCGGAAUUACUGGGCGUAAAGCGUGCGCAGGCGGUUCGUUGUGUCCGAUGUGAAAGCCCCGAGCUUAACUUGGGAAUGGCAUUGGAAACUGGCGAGCUGGAGUGUGGCAGAGGGGGGUGGAAUUCCACGUGUAGCAGUGAAAUGCGUAGAGAUGUGGAGGAACACCGAUGGCGAAGGCAGCCCCCUGGGCCAACACUGACGCUCAGGCACGAAAGCGUGGGGAGCAAACAGGAUUAGAAACCCUCGUAGUCC
rnacentral:rRNA from 1 species